CGUGGGUAACCUGCCUUAUAGUGGGGGAGUAGCCUUUCGAAAGAAGAUUAAUACGCAUAAGAUUGUAGUAUCGCAUGAUAUAGCAAUUAAAGAGCAAUUCGCUAUAAGAUGGACCCGCGUCGCAUUAGCUAGUUGGUGAGGUAAUGGCUCACCAAGGCGACGAUGCGUAGCCGACCUGAGAGGGUGAUCGGCCACAUUGGGACUGAGACACGGCCCAGACUCCUACGGGAGGCAGCAUG
rnacentral:rRNA from 1 species